rnacentral:lncRNA from 1 species
GACGACGAGAAGUCGCCGCGGCAACGGCGUCACCCGCGUGUCACGGUCGUGACGUCACCCCGGUGCGUGACGUAAUCUGAGGCGCGCCUUCGCGCCGUCGUCCGGGGAGGGUUUUUUCCCUUCUAACCACCCGCGCUCUCACACUUUGCCUCCGCUCCGCCGUUUCCAUGGCUCCGGUUUCCUACUUUCCUCUUGUCUCCUCCGUCCUCAGCCUGUUCUGUAAUGUGGGAUUUACUAGAAGAGCAGGGCUGGUGUUCGAGGAGGAGAAGUUGAAAUCCUAGAGGGAGGAAGGCGGGGAAGCCAAUACUACUUGCUAUUUCCACUGCAAUGAACGUCUCUGUGUCAUCAAAAUAAGAACUUCAACCCCAAGGUUGAAACAGCCAAGCAGAAUUUGAUGGAAAUAUAUUUAGGAACAGCUAAAUUAGCAGUGCGACGCGUGUUUUCUUUUCAUUGAAGAAUUCAGCCAGUUAAAACGAGUCUAAAUGGAAGUCUGAAAGCUUUUUCUUCAUUGUUGAGGAAUAAAAUAUUUCGUGUAUUUUUCGUUUUCCAGAUUCAUUCAUUUAACAAAUAUCAGUUGAGCACUUUCCAUGCCGUAGGGCCUGUACAAGGCACAUAGCAUUCUAGACAUCUGAAGCAUCAAAACUAAUCAUUUUUAUUUUGAAGAAAAUCACUCAAAAUAUUUUAUGUACUUUGUGCCUUUCAUGAACAGAAUAUUCCAAGCAUUCUCUGCAAAAUACGCAUGAAAACAAUUGGGAGAGAAGAGGUCAAUUAUCUUUGAGAAGCCCAAUUACAGAAUGAAAUUCAAUUCAUUAUUAAAAAUACAUGGAUCUAAUAAAGAAUAAAUAAUUGGAAAAGAAAAGUUUAAGGAAGAGAGAAACGGGAAUGAGAAACAAUUACUGUGGGCUCCCAAUGGCCUGGAGUGAAUCACCAAAGUAACCUAAACAUGAAGUCAUGAAAAACUAAGUGGAUUCUGCCUUUUAGUACUUCCCAUCAUGGGGGAAGUCACCAGCGACCUCCUUACUGUAUUUUGGAUGAUUCAAGAAAUAGAAAGGUGUCCUACUGACUUCUGAAACAGGGUGUCUUCAUAUUGAUUAGGGUCACCGUAAGCCUGGGAGCUGAUGCUUACUCUCAGGCCAUUCUAAAGUCCUACAGUAUCCAGAUGAGAAACGAGAGAAAGCAUAAGCUUUGGAGUCCAAAGAUCAGGAUUUUAGCGUCAGCACUCCACACCUUAGCUAUACAAUCUCAAAGCAGCCUGCACCUGUGGCCUCAUGGCGCAUUCUCUACAAUCAGUUGACAGAGGAAGAGAAGACUCAGGCCUGGUUUACAGAUGAUUUUGCAUUCUACGCAGGUACGACUCAAAAGUGUACUUCUGCCACAUUACAGUCCCUUUCUGAGACAUCCCUGAAAUACUGUAGGAAGGGAAAUCUUCCCAGGUGGCAGAACUUUGAGCAGUGCACUUGGUUGUUCACUUUGCUUGUAAGGAGAGAUGGCCAGAUGUGCAAUUAUGUAUCAAUUCUUGAGCUGUGGCCAGUGAUUUGGCUGGGUGGUCAGGGACUUGGAAAGAACAUGAUUUAAAAAUUGGUGACAAGGAAAUUUGGGGAAGAGAUAUGUGGGUGGACAUCCCUGAGCAAAAAACUUCUGAAGUUAUUUGUGUCCCAUGUGAAUGCUCACCAAACCAAAAGGUGAUGUCAGCAGAGGAGGAUUUUAAUAAUCAAGUGGAUAGAAUAACCCAUGUGUGGAUACCAGCGGUAUUAGUCCAUUCUCUCACUACUGUGAAGAAAUAUGCAAGACUAGGUAAUUUAUAAAGAAAAGAGGUUUAAUUGACUCACAGUUCCACAUGGCUGGGGAGGCCUCAGGAGACUUGCAGUCGUGGCAGAAGGCACCUCUUCACAGGGCAGCAGGAGAAUGAGGGCUAAGCAAAGGGGGAAGCCCUUUAUAAAACCAUCGGAUCUCAUGAGAACUUACUCAAUAUCACGAGAACAGCAUGGAGGAAACAGUCCCCAUGUUUCAAUUACCUCCUACUGGGUCCCUCCCAUGCCAUGUGGGGAUUAUGGGGAUUAUAGUUCAAAAUGAGAUUUGGGUGGGGAUACAGCCAAACCAUAUCACCAGUGAAACUCUUUCCCCAACAACCCCAUUAUUGUCCAAUGGGCUCAUAAACAAACUGGCCAUGGUGACAGGGAUGGAGGUUGUGCAUGGGCUCAGCAACAUGGACUUCCAUUUACCAAGGCCAACCUGGCUGUAGCCACUGCCGAGUGUACAUUCUGCCAGCAGCAGAGACCAACACUGAACACGCCAUAUAUGGUCCUAUUCACUGGGGUAAUCAGCCAGCUACCUGAUAGCAGGUUACCAUUGGACAUAUGGAAGAGGCAGCAUUUGGUUCUUACAGGAACAGACAUUUAUUCUAGAUAUAGAUUUGCCCUCCCUGAAUGCAGUGCU